rnacentral:rRNA from 1 species
GACGAACGCUGGCGGCAUGCCUAAUACAUGCAAGUCGAGCGGACUUGAUGAGAAGCUUGCUUCUCAGAUAGUUAGCGGCGGACGGGUGAGUAACACGUAGGCAACCUGCCCUCAAGCUUGGGACAACUACCGGAAACGGUAGCUAAUACCGAAUACUUGUUUUCUUCGCCUGAAGGAAACAGGAAAGACGGAGUAAUCUGUCACUUGGGGAUGGGCCUGGGGCGCAUUAGCUAGUUGGUGAGGUAACGGCUCACCAAGGCGACGAUGCGUAGCCGACCGGAGAGGGUGCUCGGCCACGCUGGGACUGAGACACGGCCCAGACUCCUGCGGGAGGCAGCAGUAGGGAAUCUUCCGCAAUGGGCGAAAGCCUGACGGAGCAAUGCCGCGUGAGUGAUGAAGGUUUUCGGAUCGUAAAGCUCUGUUGCCAGGGAAGAACGCUUGGGAGAGUAACUGCUCCCAAGGUGACGGUACCUGAGAAGAAAGCCCCGGCUAACUACGUGCCAGCCGCCGCUGUAA